rnacentral:rRNA from 1 species
UACGUAGGGUGCAAGCGUUAAUCGGAAUACUGGGCGUAAAGCGUGCGCAGGCGGUGAUGUAAGACAGAUGUGAAAUCCCCGGGCUCAACCUGGGAACUGCAUUUGCGACUGCAUCGCUGGAGUGCGGCAGAGGGGGAUGGAAUUCCGCGUGUAGCAGUGAAAUGCGUAGAUAUGCGGAGGAACACCGAUGGCGAAGGCAAUCCCCUGGGCCUGCACUGACGCUCAUGCACGAAAGCGUGGGGAGCAAACAGG